rnacentral:rRNA from 1 species
GACAGAGGGUGCAAACGUUGUUCGGAAUUACUGGGCGUAAAGCGAGUGUAGGCGGUUUCCUAAGUCAGGUGUGAAAGCCCCGGGCUCAACCCGGGAAGUGCACUUGAAACUGGGAGGCUAGAGUAUCGGAGAGGUUGGUGGAAUCUCGGUGUAGAGGUGAAAUUCGUAGAUAUCGAGAGGAACACCGGUGGCGAAGGCGGCCAACUGGACGAAUACUGACGCUGAGACUCGAAAGCGUGGGGAGCAAACAG